AGAGUUUGAUCCUGGCUCAGGAUGAACGCUAGCUACAGGCUUAACACAUGCAAGUCGAGGGGCAUCAGGAAGAAAGCUUGCUUUCUUUGCUGGCGACCGGCGCACGGGUGAGUAACACGUAUCCAACCUGCCCUUUACUCGGGGAUAGCCUUUCGAAAGAAAGAUUAAUACCCGAUGGCAUAAUGAUUCCGCAUGGUUUCAUUAUUAAAGGAUUCCGGUAAAGGAUGGGGAUGCGUUCCAUUAGGUUGUUGGUGAGGUAACGGCUCACCAAGCCUUCGAUGGAUAGGGGUUCUGAGAGGAAGGUCCCCCACAUUGGAACUGAGACACGGUCCAAACUCCUACGGGAGGCAGCAGUGAGGAAUAUUGGUCAAUGGGCGCUAGCCUGAACCAGCCAAGUAGCGUGAAGGAUGAAGGCUCUAUGGGUCGUAAACUUCUUUUAUAUAAGAAUAAAGUGCAGUAUGUAUACUGUUUUGUAUGUAUUAUAUGAAUAAGGAUCGGCUAACUCCGUGCCAGCAGCCGCGGUAAUACGGAGGAUCCGAGCGUUAUCCGGAUUUAUUGGGUUUAAAGGGAGCGUAGGUGGACUGGUAAGUCAGUUGUGAAAGUUUGCGGCUCAACCGUAAAAUUGCAGUUGAUACUGUCAGUCUUGAGUACAGUAGAGGUGGGCGGAAUUCGUGGUGUAGCGGUGAAAUGCUUAGAUAUCACGAAGAACUCCGAUUGCGAAGGCAGCUCACUGGACUGCAACUGACACUGAUGCUCGAAAGUGUGGGUAUCAAACAGGAUUAGAUACCCUGGUAGUCCACACAGUAAACGAUGAAUACUCGCUGUUUGCGAUAUACAGUAAGCGGCCAAGCGAAAGCAUUAAGUAUUCCACCUGGGGAGUACGCCGGCAACGGUGAAACUCAAAGGAAUUGACGGGGGCCCGCACAAGCGGAGGAACAUGUGGUUUAAUUCGAUGAUACGCGAGGAACCUUACCCGGGCUUAAAUUGCAGUGGAAUGAUGUGGAAACAUGUCAGUGAGCAAUCACCGCUGUGAAGGUGCUGCAUGGUUGUCGUCAGCUCGUGCCGUGAGGUGUCGGCUUAAGUGCCAUAACGAGCGCAACCCUUAUCUUCAGUUACUAACAGGUCAUGCUGAGGACUCUGGAGAGACUGCCGUCGUAAGAUGUGAGGAAGGUGGGGAUGACGUCAAAUCAGCACGGCCCUUACGUCCGGGGCUACACACGUGUUACAAUGGGGGGUACAGAAGGCAGCUAGCGGGUGACCGUAUGCUAAUCCCAAAAUCCUCUCUCAGUUCGGAUCGAAGUCUGCAACCCGACUUCGUGAAGCUGGAUUCGCUAGUAAUCGCGCAUCAGCCACGGCGCGGUGAAUACGUUCCCGGGCCUUGUACACACCGCCCGUCAAGCCAUGGGAGCCGGGGGUACCUGAAGUACGUAACCGCAAGGAUCGUCCUAGGGUAAAACUGGUGACUGGGGCUAAGUCGUAACAAGGUAGCCGUACCGGAAGGUGCGGCUG
rnacentral:rRNA from 1 species